GAUGAACGCUGGCGGCGUGCCUAAUACAUGCAAGUCGAGCGAACAGACGAGGAGCUUGCUCCUCUGACGUUAGCGGCGGACGGGUGAGUAACACGUGGAUAACCUACCUAUAAGCCUGGGAUAACUUCGGGAAACCGUAGCUAAUACCGCAUAAUAUAUUGAAUCGCAUGGUUCAAUAUUGAAAGACGCAAUUGCAUUCAUUUCUAGAUGGACCCGCGCCGCAUUACCUAUUUGGUAAGGUAACGGCUUACAAAGGCAACGAUGAGUAGCGGACCUGAGAGGGUGAUCGGCCACACUGGAACUGAGACACGGUCCAGACUCCUACGGGAGGAGGCAGUAGGGAAUCUUCCGCAAUGAGCGAAGGCCUAACGGGGCAACGCCGCGUGGGUAAUAAGGUUCUUCGGAUCGUAAGACUCUGUUAUUAGGGAGGAACAAAUGUGUAAGUAACUGUGCACAUCUUGACGGUACCUGAUCAGAAAGCCACGGCUAACUACGUG
rnacentral:rRNA from 1 species